rnacentral:lncRNA from 1 species
UUUUUUUUUUUUUUUUUUUUUUUUGAGACAGGGUCUUACUUUGUCACGCAGACUGAAGUGCAGUGGCACGAUCUCGGCUCACUGCAGUCUCUACCUCCUGGGCUCAAGCGACUCUCCCACCUCAGCCCCCCAAGUAGCUGGGAUUACAGGUGUGUGUCACCACACCUGGCUAAUUUUUGUAUUUUUUGUAGAGACAGGGUUUCGCCAUGUUGCCAAGACUGGUCUAGAGCUCCUGAGCUCAAGUGAUUGGCCCACCUUGGUUUCUGAAAGUGCAGGGAUUACAGGUAUGAGCCACUGCACCCAGCUUAGCCUAUUUAUUUUGUCAACCCAGGAAAUGGGUACUUUGUCUAAUGCAGGGAACUGUAAAGCUCAGGGAAGUGAAGUUACUUGUUCAAGGUCACUGGUAAGUGGGAGAGAUGGGGUUGAAUCUGGUCUUCUGCUCCAGGUUUUAUGUUUCUGUUAUAUCUUUUCUACUUAGGAUGGCUUUGUCACCAUCCUGCUUAGAGUAUGGAGCUGAGCUCAGCUGAUCAAACUCUGGGGACUCGUUGCAACAAUUUUUUCCCUCUCUUUAGAGACCAGUAGGAAGUGCUGCUGUUUCUGACCUAAAACUUGUUAUUUUAGCAGUUCUGGCACCAACAAUGAAUGGGCAACAAAUGUGUCCCAUGACAAAUGGCAAGAGUAUUUUCUAGCUUCCAUUUCUUUAUCUUGCCUCCUUUUCCUUUAUCUUUCCACAUUUGUCCAUUUGUCUUUGCCCAAACGGAAGGAUGGAAGGAGAGCACUGUCCAUGAAAAAGGGUCUGUUGUUUUGGGUUAAAUUGGAAUUACAUCAAGUCUGAGGCCAUUGACCGGAGUUCAAAUGGUCCCAGCCUAGAUGAGGAAGAUUGUAGCCCUUUCUUUCUCCACCUGAAGUCAAGGUCCUCUCCAAGGGACCAUUGCUUAUACAUGCUCAUUGUUUGCUUUGAGCCAAGUUUCCGUGUGGACAGUGGUGCAUGGUGGCCUCUCAGGUCCCUGGGUUAAAAUCUUGUGCAAGAGUCUGUAUGGUAUCUUUGCAUGGUUUAGAGCAUGUACUGUGUAUUGUGUGGCCAAUGGACUGGAACAUGAGAAUACUGAUCAUUGUUACUGAUAGACUUAAAACCUCACAUGGCCUUGAUUAAAAAGUAAGCUGACUAUCUGCAACCACU